UCUUGAAGUGUACAUUGCACAGUUUAAAUUACAAUAGGAACCAUCCUUCAAGAAUAAAACAAGUUCAGCGAACGUGAAUUAAAAAUGAAUUUUAAAAUUAUUGUUUUGUUUGUCGUGAUACUUUUCGCAUUCGAAGUAGAAAGAGCUGCAGGAUAUUGCUCGCCUUCUAUUUGUAGCAUCGAUUGUAGGAACCAGGGAUACAAACAAUGGGCAUGUAAGGUCGUGAAUGGUGAGCGACAAUGCGUGUGCUCAAAAAGAGAAUAUUGCUCGCCUUCCGUUUGUUCCAUCGACUGUAAGCGCAAAGGAUCCAGCGGUGGCCGUUGUGAUGUCUCGGAAGAGACAGAAACAUGCAUAUGUGUAUAAUAUGCGCAGAACUUUGAUCAAACCACUUCAAAAUCAAUUGAAAUCAAUUCAAGACAUUCGAAUUUUGUUUGAAGAAAAGCAACUUAAAUGAAGUAACUUUCAAUAAUGUAAUUUGUUCUUUUUUGAAAUGUAAACAUUAAAUAAAU